rnacentral:rRNA from 1 species
GAUGAACGCUGGCGGCGUGCUUAACACAUGCAAGUCGAACGAAGCACUUUAUUUGAUUUCCUUCGGGACUGAUUAUUUUGUGACUGAGUGGCGGACGGGUGAGUAACGCGUGGGUAACCCGCCUUGUACAGGGGGAUAACAGUUGGAAACGGCUGCUAAUACCGCAUAAGCGCACAGCAUCGCAUGAUGCAGUGUGAAAAACUCCGGUGGUAUAAGAUGGACCCGCGUUGGAUUAGCUAGUUGGUGAGGUAACGGCCCACCAAGGCGACGAUCCAUAGCCGACCUGAGAGGGUGACCGGCCACAUUGGGACUGAGACACGGCCCAAACUCCUACGGGAGGCAGCAGUGGGGAAUAUUGCACAAUGGGCGAAAGCCUGAUGCAGCGACGCCGCGUGAGCGAAGAAGUAUUUCGGUAUGUAAAGCUCUAUCAGCAGGGAAGAUAAUGACGGUACCUGACUAAGAAGCACCGGCUAAAUACGUG